UGUAAAUGAAAAAAAAUAUGACUAAAACUUUUAAAUUUAUACAUGUUAUGAUUUUAUUUCUUUCCCUAUUUUUUGUUGCAGAAAGUUUUUUCGUUGAUACUCCAUGUAAGAUUGAUGAAGACUGUCCACAAUUUCAAAGGCCGUGGAGUCAGAUCGUCAAGUAUUACUGCAUUGCCGAUCAAUGUUUCUACUAUAUAAAACAUAUAAAAUAAAAUAAAUAAAAGCCACACCAAAAGAGGAACUGCCAAGGAUAAACGAAGUGUCAAAUACUACCGGAAACUCAUAUACAUAAUGUUGGAACAUUGGUGUGAAGUUGGAAGGAAAAUUGGAAGAUUAAACACCAAGUAAUUAUAUUUGAUCUAGUGUUGUGUGAAUUGAAAAAUUAGAGUGUGGGGGUCCCACAUAAAAUAGAACACACACAUUAGUAGUGUUUAAAUUGCGGUAUUUAAUUUUAAUUAUUUGAUAAUGAUAAAAAUAAUAGUAAUUAUUAUUUUUAUUGUGAAUAUCACUUCCCAUAAAUUUAGCUUAUGUUGGUUGUGAUAAGAUUAAGAAUGGAA